UAGAGUUUGAUCCUGGCUCAGGAUGAACGCUGGCGGCGUGCCUAAUACAUGCAAGUCGAGCGAACAGAUAAGGAGCUUGCUCCUUUGACGUUAGCGGCGGACGGGUGAGUAACACGUGGGUAACCUACCUAUAAGACUGGGAUAACUUCGGGAAACCGGAGCUAAUACCGGAUAAUAUUUCGAACCGCAUGGUUCGAUAGUGAAAGAUGGUUUUGCUAUCACUUAUAGAUGGACCCGCGCCGUAUUAGCUAGUUGGUAAGGUAACGGCUUACCAAGGCGACGAUACGUAGCCGACCUGAGAGGGUGAUCGGCCACACUGGAACUGAGACACGGUCCAGACUCCUACGGGAGGCAGCAGUAGGGAAUCUUCCGCAAUGGGCGAAAGCCUGACGGAGCAACGCCGCGUGAGUGAUGAAGGUCUUCGGAUCGUAAAACUCUGUUAUUAGGGAAGAACAUACGUGUAAGUAACUAUGCACGUCUUGACGGUACCUAAUCAGAAAGCCACGGCUAACUACGUGCCAGCAGCCGCGGUAAUACGUAGGUGGCAAGCGUUAUCCGGAAUUAUUGGGCGUAAAGCGCGCGUAGGCGGUUUUUUAAGUCUGAUGUGAAAGCCCACGGCUCAACCGUGGAGGGUCAUUGGAAACUGGAAAACUUGAGUGCAGAAGAGGAAAGUGGAAUUCCAUGUGUAGCGGUGAAAUGCGCAGAGAUAUGGAGGAACACCAGUGGCGAAGGCGACUUUCUGGUCUGUAACUGACGCUGAUGUGCGAAAGCGUGGGGAUCAAACAGGAUUAGAUACCCUGGUAGUCCACGCCGUAAACGAUGAGUGCUAAGUGUUAGGGGGUUUCCGCCCCUUAGUGCUGCAGCUAACGCAUUAAGCACUCCGCCUGGGGAGUACGACCGCAAGGUUGAAACUCAAGGGAAUUGACGGGGACCCGCACAAGCGGUGGAGCAUGUGGUUUAAUUCGAAGCAACGCGAAGAACCUUACCAAAUCUUGACAUCCUUUGACAACUCUAGAGAUAGAGCCUUCCCCUUCGGGGGACAAAGUGACAGGUGGUGCAUGGUUGUCGUCAGCUCGUGUCGUGAGAUGUUGGGUUAAGUCCCGCAACGAGCGCAACCCUUAAGCUUAGUUGCCAUCAUUAAGUUGGGCACUCUAAGUUGACUGCCGGUGACAAACCGGAGGAAGGUGGGGAUGACGUCAAAUCAUCAUGCCCCUUAUGAUUUGGGCUACACACGUGCUACAAUGGACAAUACAAAGGGCAGCGAAACCGCGAGGUCAAGCAAAUCCCAUAAAGUUGUUCUCAGUUCGGAUUGUAGUCUGCAACUCGACUACAUGAAGCUGGAAUCGCUAGUAAUCGUAGAUCAGCAUGCUACGGUGAAUACGUUCCCGGGUCUUGUACACACCGCCCGUCACACCACGAGAGUUUGUAACACCCGAAGCCGGUGGAGUAACCAUUUGGAGCUAGCCGUCGAAGGUGGGACAAAUGAUUGGGGUGAAGUCGUAACAAGGUAGCCGUA
rnacentral:rRNA from 1 species